rnacentral:rRNA from 1 species
CGUCAAAUCAUCAUGCCCCUUAUGCUUAGGGCUACACACGUGCUACAAUGGGUAGUACAGAGGGUUGCCAAGCCGUAAGGUGGAGCUAAUCCCUUAAAGCUACUCUCAGUUCGGAUUGUAGGCUGAAACUCGCCUACAUGAAGCUGGAGUUACUAGUAAUCGCAGAUCAGAAUGCUGCGGUGAAUACGUUCCCGGGUCUUGUACACACCGCCCGUCACACCACGGGAGUUGGAGACGCCCGAAGCCGAUUAUCUAACCUUUUGGAAGAAAUCGUCGAAGGUGGAAUCAAUAACUGGGGUGAAGUCGUAACAAGGUAGCCGUAUCGGAAGGUGCGGCUGGAUCACCUCCUUUCUAAGGAGA